rnacentral:rRNA from 1 species
GACGAACGCUGGCGGCGUGCUUAACACAUGCAAGUCGAACGAAGUGGCGAACGGGUGAGUAAUACGUGGGUAACCUGCCCUCCUUUUUGGGAUAAGCCUUGGAAACGGGGUCUAAUACCGAAUAAAGGGGGAUGGGCUCGCGGCCUAUCAGCUUGUUGGUGGGGUGAUGGCCUACCAAGGCGGUGACGGGUAGCCGGCCUGAGAGGGUGACCGGCAACAGUGGGACGGAGAUACGGCCCAGAUUCCUACGGGGGGCAGCAGUGGGGGAGAUGGAAAAAUGGGCGAAAGCAGGAUGCGGCGACGCCGCGUGGGGGAUGAAGGCUUUGGGGUUGUAAACCUCUUGCGAAAGAGAACGGGUAGGUGGAGAAGAAGCGCCGGAUAACUACGUGCCAGAAGCCGCGGUAAUAC